UGACUGUGAUACGGUUAGUUAAGUAAUA
rnacentral:sRNA from 1 species